CCUACGGGUGGCUGCAGUGGGGAAUAUUGGGCAAUGGGCGCAAGCCUGACCCAGCAACGCCGCGUGAAGGAAGAAGGCUUUCGGGUUGUAAACUUCUUUUCUCAGGGACGAAGAAAGUGACGGUACCUGAGGAAUAAGCCACGGCUAACUACGUGCCAGCAGCCGCGGUAAUACGUAGGUGGCAAGCGUUAUCCGGAUUUACUGGGUUUAAAGGGCGUGUAGGCGGGACUGCAAGUCAGAUGUGAAAACCACGGGCUCAACCUGUGGCCGGCAUGGGAAACUGUAGUUCUUGAGUACUGGCGAUGCAGCCGUCAUUCCUCGUGUAGCGGUGAACUGCGUAGAUAUUAGGUGGCACACCAGUGGCGCAGGCGGUCUGCUGGACCGCAACUGACGCUGAGGCGCGAAAGCGUGGGGAGCAAACCGGAUUCGAUACCCUAGUAGUC
rnacentral:rRNA from 1 species